rnacentral:rRNA from 1 species
ACGAACGCUGGCGGCGUGCUUAACACAUGCAAGUCGAACGGUGACGGAGAGCUUGCUCUCCUGAUCAGUGGCGAACGGGUGAGUAACACGUGGGCAACCUGCCCCAGACUUCGGGAUAACGCUUCGAAAGAGGUGCUAAUACCGGAUACGAACUCCUUGGGCAUCCUUGGAGUUGGAAAGUUUUUCGGUCUGGGAUGGGCCCGCGGCCUAUCAGCUUGUUGGUGAGGUAACGGCUCACCAAGGCGACGACGGGUAGCCGGCCUGAGAGGGCGACCGGCCACACUGGGACUGAGACACGGCCCAGACUCCUACGGGAGGCAGCAGUGGGGAAUAUUGCGCAAUGGGCGAAAGCCUGACGCAGCAACGCCGCGUGAGGGAUGACGGCCUUCGGGUUGUAAACCUCUUUCAGCAGGGAAGAAGCGAAAGUGACGGUACCUGCAGAAGAAGCACCGGCUAACUACGUG